AUUGAACGCUGGCGGCAUGCUUUACACAUGCAAGUCGAACGGCAGCGGGGAGGAGCUUGCUUCUCUGCCGGCGAGUGGCGAACGGGUGAGUAAUACAUCGGAACGUGUCGAGAAGAGGGGGAUAACCACCCGAAAGGGUGGCUAAUACCGCAUAAAUUCUGAGGAAGAAAGCUGGGGACCUAGGAAUAGGCCUAGCGCUUUUUGAGCGGCCGAUGUCGGAUUAGCUAGUUGGUGAGGUAAAGGCUCACCAAGGCGAAGAUCUGUAGCGGGUCUGAGAGGAUGAUCCGCCACACUGGGACUGAGACACGGCCCAGACUCCUACGGGAGGCAGCAGUGGGGAGUUUUGGACAAUGGGGGCAACCCUGAUCCAGCCAUGCCGCGUGUAUGAAGAAGGCCUUAGGGUUGUAAAGUACUUUUGUUAGGGAAGAAAAGUCAGCUGUGAAUAAUGGCUGAUACUGACGGUACCUAAAGAAUAAGCACCGGCUAACUACGUG
rnacentral:rRNA from 1 species